CAACAUGCUAGUUACUGCUCCAUAAGGAGGAAAGAAGAUUGGGCAGAGAAAGCAGUUGAACUGUGAAGCAGACCUGACAAAGGCUCAAGUGAAAAUUGCCCAUAGAGUGGCCUGCGUUGAGCUGAAAUGACUAAGCAUUUACUCCUCUCCCUUACUCAGUUCCCAGAUAGGGGCUGUGCGAAGGGCAAGCCCCAGGCAAAGCAACUACUUGCAAUUGAGGCAGAUGCUGAAAGAGGUGAACAGGUGGAAGCUGCCUGCAGAAUGCAUUGUUUGUGACUCAUCAGUCAAUCCUAGGGCAGGAUGUAAAAAAGAAAAAAAAAAAGCCUGAAAACAAAUUAUCUGAAAGUGGGAUUAAUAUCACACUACAUUGGGGUAGGAGCUUCAACUACUUUUCUCCAUUGCAGUUACAGGGGCAAAAAUGGCCACCUCCCUUCAUUUAUGUAAGUUGAAGAAGAAACUCAGAGUGGGUUUUCCUUCUGGCUACCACAUGCCUUUGGCAUAAUACCUUGACACAGAAAAACAGUGAUGAACUACACAUGUAGGAUCAGCCAUUAGGCCUUCCUACAGAACCAAAAGAGAUGAUCAUAGAAACUUUAUGGACCCCAAGAAUAUGCCUGGGAAGUUGGAGGCUUUUGAAAAAACACCCAUUGGCAAUGUUUAUAGCGGUGCUAUUGACAAUGGCCAAAGUAUGGAAAGAGCCCAGAUGUCUAUCAACACAUGAAUGGAUAAAGAAGAUGUGGUGACUAAUGGCUCCAUAGUACCACAGAAUAAAACUUAAAUUCCUUGGCAUGACCCACAAGGUUCUUCAUAAUCUGGCCUCAACUAUUUCCUAACCACACCUUCCGACAUUCUUCCCUUGUAUCACAAACCCCAGCCACAAUGAACUUCUUGCAUAUGGCCUCAGACACAUCAUGCUUUUCAUGCCUCUGGUUUCCUCAUAAUGAGGUCCAAAGAUCAUCAGCACUACAAUCAGUUGGGGGUAUUUUUAGAAAUGUUGACUCCGAGGUUCUACUGAAAUCUAAUUCCUGGGCAUUUAGCCAAGGAAUCUACAUUUUAACAAAUUCUCCAGGCAAUUUAUUUUUCACGUACAUUAAUAUUUGCAAGCCACAUCUCAAUCCUUAUGGUGACACCUAUGUCCUUUCCAUCUGCCCCUUCCACGGAUCAAAUAUCAUCUCCUUAAGAAAAAUCUUUUUAACCUUCUCUUUCCUCAAAUAAAAUGUACCCUUUGCCCCUUCCGUGCCUCUGCUUUACCCUAGUUAUACUUGUACCCAGCAUUUUCUGGUACUUAUGGCUUUUAUUUUUGUGACCUAUACUUUGAUUUCCUUGAGCAUCUUAAUUCAGUUGCCAACAAGCUUUUAUUGAACGCUGGUGGUCCACCAAGGGAGGAAAUGGCAUGAAGACCCCCGGAGUUUGGAGUCUGAUGGUGGAUAGGAAAAUACAAUCACAGUGAAGUGUGCAAAGUGCUAGGAAAAGCAGAAGGUAGGGUGUGUGGAAGCUACAGAGACACGUAGACUGGGGAAGCAGGCCAGGGAAGCUUCUCUGGGAACCAAUGUCUAAGUAUCAACUUGGAAAGGAAUAUUUACCCAAGGGAAGGAGGAGAGAGUAUGCCAGCUAAAGAAAGAUGCACCAUAGCAUGUGUGUGCGUGCGUGCGUGUGUGUGUGUGUCUGUGCGUAAAUGAGCGAGAACAACUCAACAUGUCCUCCAUAAUAACCAGAUGUAUCUAUAUCUGCGUGUUUUUUCCCUCAACCUUUCUCCUUCAUAAAUGAAGCCACAUUAAACAUAUUUACCAGCUUUGCAGAAAAUAGAUCCUUCCUAGACCUUGUCAGAUGGACCCUGGAGCCUCAAACCCAGCAGCUUGUGUCUUAAUAUUUCUCUCUUUCUCCUUACCCCACACCCUCCAUUUGUGUGUGUGUGUGCGUGUGCGUGUGUGUGUG